AAAGUUUGUUUUGUGAAAAUUCUAGUGACUUAUCUGCAUUCAUGUUUUUAUUCAUUUGUAAUCAAGAUGUUAAUAGCUGACUGUAAUUCUUGUAGCUGGUUCUCUUUUGUUUAUGUUGUCCUAAAAUGAUCUUAUUUAUUUGCUUUGGGGUUUAUUUUAAAUUCGGAUCUUUAGAGAACAUAAGAAAUGAAAGGGAUAGCUGUAAAAAUGCAUUAGCAAGGAGGCUAUUUAGAUCAUUGGCCACUACCUUUCCUGAGAUUCAA
rnacentral:misc_RNA from 1 species